rnacentral:rRNA from 1 species
AGAGUUUGAUCCUGGCUCAGGACGAACGCUGGCGGCGUGCUUAACACAUGCAAGUCGAGCGGAGACACCGAAAGUUUUCGGACGGAAGGUGUUUCAGCGGCGGACGGGUGAGUAACGCGUGAGCAAUCUGUCCCGGAAUGGGGAAUAACAGAUGGAAACAUCUGCUAAUACCGCAUAAGACCACGGGAUCACAUGGUUCCGGGGUAAAAGGCGAAAGCCGGUUUGGGGUGAGCUCGCGUCCGAUUAGCUGGUUGGUGGGGUAACGGCCCACCAAGGCGACGAUCGGUAGCCGACCUGAGAGGGUGAUCGGCCACACUGGAACUGAGAUACGGUCCAGACUCCUACGGGAGGCAGCAGGUGGGAAUAUUGGGCAAUGGGGGAAACCCUGACCCAGCAACGCCGCGUGAGGGAAGAAGGUUUUCGGAUUGUAAACCUCUGUCCUUGGUGAAGAAAAGAAUGACGGUAGCCAAGGAGGAAGCCCCGGCUAACUACGUGCCAGCAGCCGCGGUAAUACGUAGGGGGCGAGCGUUGUCCGGAAUGACUGGGCGUAAAGGGCGUGUAGGCGGCCGAUUAAGUCCGGAGUGAAAGUCCUGCUUUCAAGGUGGGAAUCGCUUUGGAAACUGGUAGGCUUGAGUGCGGAAGAGGUAAGUGGAAUUCCCAGUGUAGCGGUGAAAUGCGUAGAGAUUGGGAGGAACACCAGUGGCGAAGGCGACUUACUGGGCCGUAACUGACGCUGAGGCGCGAAAGCGUGGGGAGCGAACAGGAUUAGAUACCCUGGUAGUCCACGCGGUAAACGAUGAAUGCUAGGUGUAGGGGGUAUCGACCCCUCCUGUGCCGGAGUAACACAAUAAGCAUUCCGCCUGGGGAGUACGGGCCGCAAGGUUGAAACUCAAAGGAAUUGACGG